ACCUGGCAUACAAUGUAGAUUUCUGUAUUUCUUAAGCAACAGCUACAUUGUCUGCUGGGUUUC
rnacentral:pre_miRNA from 1 species